CGGCGUGCUUAACACAUGCAAGUCGAACGGUGAACCAGGGCUUGCCCGUGGGGAUCAGUGGCGAACGGGUGAGUAAAGCAUCGGAACGUACCGUGUAGUGGGGAUAACGUAGCGAAAGUUACGCUAAUACCGCAUACGCACUGAGGUGGAAAGCAGGGGAUCGCAAGACCUUGCGCUAUACGAGCGGCCGAUGUCAGAUUAGCUAGUUGGUAGGGUAAAGGCCUACCAAGGCGACGAUCUGUAGCGGGUCUGAGAGGAUGAUCCGCCACACUGGGACUGAGACACGGCCCAGACUCCUACGGGAGGCAGCAGUGGGGAAUUUUGGACAAUGGGGGAAACCCUGAUCCAGCCAUGCCGCGUGAGUGAAGAAGGCCUUCGGGUUGUAAAGCUCUUUCGGCUGGGAAGAAAUCGCACAGGCUAAUACUCUGUGUGGAUGACGGUACCAGCAUAAGAAGCACCGGCUAACUACGUG
rnacentral:rRNA from 1 species